rnacentral:rRNA from 1 species
ACACGACUACAUUAGAUACCCCGGUAGUCCUAGCCGUAAACGAUACUCGCUAGGUGUCGGCCACGGUGCGACCGUUGUCGGUGCCGUAGGGAAGCCGUGAAGCGAGCCACCUGGGAAGUACGGCCGCAAGGCUGAAACUUAAAGGAAUUGGCGGGGGAGCACCGCAACGGGAGGAGCGUGCGGUUCAAUUGGAUUCAACGCCGGACAACUCACCAGGAGCGACGGUUACAUGAAGGCCAGGCUGAUGACCUUGCCUGAUUUUCCG